UAAGUAGAUAGUGAAAUCGUGUGGCUCAACCAUGCUCACAUUAUCUAAACUGCAAAGCUAGAGGGCGAGAGAGGUUACUAGAAUUCCUUGUGUAGGAGUGAAAUCCGUAGAUAUAAGGAGGAAUACCGAUGGCGUAGGCAGGUAACUGGCUCGUCCCUGACACUAAGGCACGAAAGCGUGGGUAGCAAACGGGAUUAGAUACCCCGGUAGUCCACGCCGUAAACUAUGGAUGCUA
rnacentral:rRNA from 1 species